AUUGAACGCUGGCGGCAUGCCUAACACAUGCAAGUCGAAUGGUAACAGGAAACAGCUUGCUGUUUCGCUGACGAGUGGCGGACGUGUGAGUAAUGUCUGGGAAACUGCCUGAUGGAGGGGGAUAACUACUGGAAACGGUAGCUAAUACCGCAUAACGUCGCAAGACCAAAGAGGGGGACCUUCGGGCCUCUUGCCAUCAGAUGUGCCCAGAUGGGAUUAGCUAGUAGGUGGGGUAACGGCUCACCUAGGCGACGAUCCCUAGCUGGUCUGAGAGGAUGACCAGCCACACUGGAACUGAGACACGGUCCAGACUCCUACGGGAGGCAGCAGUGGGGAAUAUUGCACAAUGGGCGCAAGCCUGAUGCAGCCAUGCCGCGUGUAUGAAGAAGGCCUUCGGGUUGUAAAGUACUUUCAGCGGGGAGGAAGGGAGUAAAGUUAAUACCUUUGCUCAUUGACGUUACCCGAAGAAGAAGCAACGGCUAACUCCGUG
rnacentral:rRNA from 1 species